rnacentral:rRNA from 1 species
UACGUAGGGUGCGAGCGUUAAUCGGAAUUACUGGGCGUAAAGCGUGCGCAGGCGGUUCGUUGUGUCUGAUGUGAAAGCCCCGGGCUUAACCUGGGAAUGGCGGUUGAAACUGGCGAACUUGAAUCUGGCAGAGGGGGGUGGAAUUCCACGUGUAGCAGUGAAAUGCGUAGAGAUGUGGAGGAACACCGAUGGCGAAGGCAGCCCCCUGGGCUGAGAUUGACGCUCAGGCACGAAAGCGUGGGGAGCAAACAGG